rnacentral:rRNA from 1 species
AACGAACGCUGGCGGCAUGCCUAACACAUGCAAGUCGAACGAGACCUUCGGGCCUUGUGGCGCACGGGUGCGUAACGCGUGGGAACCUGCCCUUAGGUUCGGAAUAACUCCCCGAAAGGGGUGCUAAUACCGGAUAAUGUCUUAGGACCAAAGAUUUAUCGCGUUUGGAUGGGCCCGCGUUGGAUUAGCUGGUUGGUAGGGUAAAAGCCUACCAAGGCGACGAUCCUUAGCUGGUCUGAGAGGAUGAUCAGCCACACUGGGGCUGAGACACGGCCCAGACUCCUACGGGAGGCAGCAGUGGGGAAUAUUGUACAAUGGGCGAAGGCCUGAUCCAGCAAUGCCGCGUAAGUGAUGAAGGCCUUAGUGUAGUAAAGCUCUUUUACCCGGGAUGAUAAUGACGGUACCGGGAGAAUAAGCUCCGGCUAACUCCGUG